GGGGAAUAUUGCGCAAUGGGGGAAACCCUGACGCAGCAACGCCGCGUGAAGGAAGAAGGUCUUCGGAUUGUAAACUUCUGUCUUUGGUGAAGAUAAUGACGGUAGCCAAGGAGGAAGCCACGGCUAACUACGUGCCAGCAGCCGCGGUAAUACGUAGGCGGCAAGCGUUGUCCGGAUUUACUGGGUGUAAAGGGCGUGUAGACGGGUCUGCAAGUCAGAUGUGAAAUACCGCAGCUUAACUGCGGGGCUGCAUUUGAAACUGUGGAUCUUGAGUGCAGGAGAGGAAAGCGGAAUUCCUAGUGUAGCGGUGAAAUGCGUAGAUAUUAGGAGGAACACCAGUGGCGAAGGCGGCUUUCUGGACUGUAACUGACGUUGAGGCGCGAAAGCGUGGGUAGCAAAC
rnacentral:rRNA from 1 species